rnacentral:tRNA from 1 species
AGAGACUUAGGAUAGUACUUAGACCAAGAGCCUUCAAAGCCCUAAGCGAAAGUGAAAAUCUUUCAGCCUCUG